rnacentral:rRNA from 1 species
CCUACGGGAGGCAGCAGUGGGGGAUAUUGCACAAUGGGGGGAACCCUGAUGCAGCGACGCCGCGUGGGUGAAGAAGCGCCUCGGCGCGUAAAGCCCUGUCAGCAGGGAAGAAAAUGACGGUACCUGAAGAAGAAGCCCCGGCUAACUACGUGCCAGCAGCCGCGGUAAUACGUAGGGGGCAAGGGUUAUCCGGAUUUACUGGGUGUAAGGGGGGCGCAGACGGCGAUGCAAGCCGGGGGGGAAGGCCCGGGGCCAAACCCCGGGACGGUCCUGGGAACUGCGUGGCUGGGGUGCAGGAGGGGCAGGGGAAAUUCCGGUGUAGCGGUGAAAUGCGUAGAUAUCAGGAGGAACACCGGUGGCGAAGGCGGCCUGCUGGACUGCAACUGACGUUGAGGCCCGAAAGCGUGGGGAGCAAACAGGAUUAGAUACCCCUGUAGUC